rnacentral:rRNA from 1 species
CUAUACUGCAAGUCGAACGCACUCUCGUUUAGAUUGAAGGAGCUUGCUCCUGAUUGAUAAACAUUUGAGUGAGUGGCGGACGGGUGAGUAACACGUGGGUAACCUGCCCUAAAGUGGGGGAUAACAUUUGGAAACAGGUGCUAAUACCGCAUAAAACCUAACACCGCAUGGUGUAGGGUUGAAAGAUGGUUUCGGCUAUCACUUUAGGAUGGACCCGCGGUGCAUUAGUUAGUUGGUGAGGUAAAGGCUCACCAAGACCGUGAUGCAUAGCCGACCUGAGAGGGUAAUCGGCCACACUGGGACUGAGACACGGCCCAGACUCCUACGGGAGGCAGCAGUAGGGAAUCUUCCACAAUGGACGAAAGUCUGAUGGAGCAACGCCGCGUGAGUGAAGAAGGUUUUCGGAUCGUAAAACUCUGUUGUUGGAGAAGAAUGUAUCUGAUAGUAACUGAUCAGGUAGUGACGGUAUCCAACCAGAAAGCCACGGCUAACUACGUGCCAGCAGCCGCGGUAAUACGUAGGUGGCAAGCGUUGUCCGGAUUUAUUGGGCGUAAAGCGAGCGCAGGCGGUUUCUUAAGUCUGAUGUGAAAGCCUUCGGCUCAACCGAAGAAGUGCAUCGGAAACUGGGAAACUUGAGUGCAGAAGAGGACAGUGGAACUCCAUGUGUAGCGGUGAAAUGCGUAGAUAUAUGGAAGAACACCAGUGGCGAAGGCGGCUGUCUGGUCUGUAACUGACGCUGAGGCUCGAAAGCAUGGGUAGCAAACAGGAUUAGAUACCCUGGUAGUCCAUGCCGUAAACGAUGAGUGCUAGGUGUUGGAGGGUUUCCGCCCUUCAGUGCCGCAGCUAACGCAUUAAGCACUCCGCCUGGGGAGUACGACCGCAAGGUUGAAACUCAAAGGAAUUGACGGGGGCCCGCACAAGCGGUGGAGCAUGUGGUUUAAUUCGAAGCAACGCGAAGAACCUUACCAGGUCUUGACAUCCUUUGACCACUCUAGAGAUAGAGCUUUCCCUUCGGGGACAAAGUGACAGGUGGGUGCAUGGUUGUCGUCAGCUCGUGUCGUGAGAAGUUGGGGUUAAGUCCCGCAACGAGCGCAACCCUUAUUACUAGUUGCCAGCAUUAAGUUGGGCACUCUAGUGAAACUGCCGGUGACAAACCGGGAGGAAAGGUGGGGGA